GACAUGUGAAUGUGCAUAUCCAUCCUCCCAGGACGAAGCAAUGCAGGGUCCAAAACUUCUUUGCGAUUGGUAGUGAACACAAUUAUUCUCUCCUCUCCACAGCUCGACCACAAUCCAUCAAUGCAGUUUAGCAGACCCGAGAGCGAGAAUGGCUUGACAAGAUUGCAAUCAUCAUCAGAAUCGUCCGAUGAUACAGAUCGUUUGUGGACUCCGGCGCUGCAAUCUAUAUCCUCAAUCACUGUUAUAGACUUCCUGUCAAUAUCAAGCAUGGCUUUCCUCAGAUCAGCAUCAGAAAUAAUAUUUGCAAGCUCCAAAUCAUACACAUCAAAUUUCAAGUAAUUUGCCAUGGCUGCAAUUAGGCUUGAUUUCCC
rnacentral:misc_RNA from 1 species